UCCCUGGAAGACUAGUGGUUAGGCCUCUGCGCUGUCACUGCUGUGGACCGGGUUUGAUUCCUGGCCAGGGAA
rnacentral:tRNA from 1 species